AUGAUGUGCACUGGCAAUUUAAAAAUAAAUGUUGACUUGUGUGCGAUACAUAUAAAGUUUUCGCUGGCGCUAACCUCACACCUGUGUUUCGAUCUAUCAUUGUUGAUCAUGAAUUUAGUUGAUACUUCUAUUUUAGAGAAAGGGCAAACAGCGAUAUUAAAAUAUUUCUUCUAAUUAAUUGCCUCUCAAUGUGCAUGAAUCCAUGCUCUGGGCCACUAGUUUGAUGACAGUACUCA